rnacentral:tRNA from 1 species
GGGGUUGUAGCUCAGUGGUAGAUAACUUGCCUUGCAUGCAUGAGACACUGGGUUCAAAACUCAGCACCACA